GGCAAGAUGGCCGAGCGGUCUAAGGCGCCACGUUAAGGUUAAUACCCUUAAUCAACAUCUUCUCCCUAAAGUUAGAUUCCGUGGUCCGAAAGGGCGUGGGUUCGAAUCCCACUCUUGUCA